UUAAUUUUUGCUGGCUUUAGCAGAACGGGAACAGUACAGAGAAGAUUAGCACGGCCCCUGUGCAAGGAUGACACACAAAUUCAUAAAUUUAAAUUAA
ensembl:snRNA U6 U6 spliceosomal RNA